GGAGGUAGUGACAAUAAAUCACAAUGCGGGACUAUACGUCUUGCAAUUGGAUUGAGAACAAUGUACAACUCUUAUCGAUAAGCCAUUGGAGGGCAAGUCUGGUGCCAGCAGCCGCGGUAAUUCCAGCUCCAAUAGCGUAUAUUAACGUUGUUGCAGUUAAAAAGCUCGUAGUUGAAGUGUGGGUGAUCGCUAUUGUGAGACUUCGGUCUCUCGACAGUAAGUCACCCCCUUCCAGUAUCCAGUAGUGGGUAUUCAGUUACUUACUAUUGUGUGUUGGUCCUUUACUGUGAGAAAAUUAGAGUGUUCAAAGCAGGCGUUUGCUUGAAUAGAUUAGCAUGGAAUAAUAAUUGAAGGCUUUCGUGUUCGAUUUGAUUGGUUUGUUCAUGGAAGCAAGGUUAAAAGGAACAGUUGGGGGUAUUCAUAUUCACUAGUUAGAGGUGAAAUUCUCGGAUUUAUGGAAGAUGAACAAGUGCGAAAGCA
rnacentral:rRNA from 1 species